CGGGUUCUGCCUGCUUCGGCCUAACUAAGUAGAGACGCCUAAUUGAGCGUCCUCUGGUUUGGGAAAGGGGAGGAUUCGCAUUGAAAAGGUGAAACCCAAAUCGUACACAGCGCAGUCGAACCACCGAAAUCGUCGUUUGGCAUGGAGUAUAAAAUGAACAUCGACCGGCUGGUCAACAGGAUUUCCCCAUAAAAAGCGCAGCCGAGUGUUCGUUCGGCACACGUUUCCAGUCGUGGCCAGUGGACGGGGGAAAAUCGGGAAAGGUGGGGAAUCGAGGGAUUAUGAAAUGGGGGACAGGAAGCUGGCACUGAGGAAAUCUCGAUCAAUGAAUGGACGGGCACCGGCAGGAGGAGGAAUGGAAAUGGAAAUAGGCGGAAAAUGGGGAUACGAAUGCGGUUUUGAACGCCAGAUGAUUGUGGCAAUGAAAGCGCAAACAAAAAUAUAGAGAACACAUCAGAGACACACUGAAACACCCACAGCUAAAUGGAUCGCUUGAGUUAUAGAAAUGAAAGAAAAUAUAAUAAAAAACGCUUUCGAAAAUAGCCAUGCAAA